AUUGAACGCUGGCAGCAGGCCUAACACAUGCAAGUCGAGCGAGCGGCGGACGGGUGAGUAAUGUAUGGGGACUGCCCGAUAGAGGGGGAUAACUACUGGAAACGGUGGCUAAUACCGCAUACUAUCGGAUAACCCAUAGGGGAUUAGCUAGUAGGUGGGGUAAUGGCUCACCUGGGCGACGAUCUCUAGCUGGUCUGAGAGGAUGAUGAGCAACAUUGGGACGGAGACACGGCCCAGACUCCUACGGAGGAAGAGGUGGGGAAUAUUGGAAAAUGGGCGCAAGCCUGAGGCAGCAAUGCCGCGUGUAUGAAGAAGGCCUUAGGGUUGUAAAGUACUUUCAGCGGGGAGGCGUUACCCGCAGAAGAAGCACCGGCUAACUCCGUGCCAGCAGCCGCGGUAAUUC
rnacentral:rRNA from 1 species